UACAGAGGGGGCAAGCGUUGUUCGGAAUUACUGGGCGUAAAGGGCGCGUAGGCGGCCUUCUAAGUCGAACGUGAAAUCCCUGGGCUCAACCCAGGAACUGCGUCCGAUACUGGAAGGCUUGGAUCCGGGAGAGGGAUGCGGAAUUCCAGGUGUAGCGGUGAAAUGCGUAGAUAUCUGGAGGAACACCGGUGGCGAAGGCGGCGUUCUGGACUGCAACUGACACUGAUGAACGAAAGCCAGGGGAGCAAACGGG
rnacentral:rRNA from 1 species